AUGACUCCCAGACCCAUCUCACUACUGCUGUUACUGGCAGCUGCAUCCUGUGAGUCUGAUCAACUGGUGAACGUGGAAAGUGUGCAUUCGUCUGUUGACCUCACUCAGCCCAGCUCAAUGGUUGUCAGGCCUGGAGAGGAAAUGACCAUCAGCUGUAAGGUGGCUGGAUACUCACUGACCUCCUGCUGUACCUAUGCAACAGCGUGGAUCCGCCAGCCUGCAGGGAAAGCAUUGGAGUGGAUCAACCACAUUUAUGCAGAUGAUGAUAUCUACCAGGCAGAAUCCCUGAAGAGCAAGUUCAGCAUCUCUAGAGAUGCCUCCAGCAGCACUGUGACUCUGAGAGGCCAGAACAUGCAGCCUGGAGACUCUGCUGUCUACUACUGUGCCAGAUACUAUGACCACUGUGGUACCAACAAGUACAAGACUCAUACAAAAACUCAAUCCCAUGAAGAUUUCUCCCUGCUAGUUCCCUGAUUAGCCUGAAGAGGGCAGUAUGUGCAUUAGCUAC